rnacentral:rRNA from 1 species
UACGAAGGGGGCUAGCGUUGUUCGGAAUUACUGGGCGUAAAGGGCGCGUAGGCGGUGUGUCAAGUCAGGCGUGAAAGCCCCGGGCUCAACCUGGGAACCGCGCUUGAGACUGGCACGCUAGAGUUCGGGAGAGGAUGGUGGAAUUCCCAGUGUAGAGGUGAAAUUCGUAGAUAUUGGGAAGAACACCAGUGGCGAAGGCGACACACUGGCCCGUUACUGACGCUGAGGCGCGAAAGCGUGGGGAGCAAACAGG